rnacentral:rRNA from 1 species
AACGAACGCUGGCGGCAUGCCUAACACAUGCAAGUCGAACGAGACCUCCGGGUCUAGUGGCGCACGGGUGCGUAACGCGUGGGAACCUGCCCUUAGGUUCGGAAUAACUCCCCGAAAGGGGUGCUAAUACCGGAUAAUGUCUUCGGACCAAAGAUUUAUCGCCUUUGGAUGGGCCCGCGUUGGAUUAGCUAGUUGGUAGGGUAAAAGCCUGCCAAGGCGACGAUCCAUAGCUGGUCUGGGAGGAUGAUCCGCCACACUGGGACUGAGACACGGCCCAGACUCCUACGGAAGGCAGCAGUGGGGAAUAUUGGACAAUGGGCGAAGGCCUGAUCCAGCAAUGCCGCGUAAGUGAUGAAGGCCUUAGGGUUGUAAAGCUCUUUUACCCGGGAUGAUAAUGACAGUACCGGGAGAAUAAGCUCCGGCUAACUCCGUG